AUUGAACGCUGGCGGCAGGCCUAACACAUGCAAGUCGAACGAGUGGCGGACGGGUGAGUAAUGUCUGGGAAACUGCCUGAUGGAGGGGGAUAACUACUGGAAACGGUAGCUAAUACCGCAUACCAUCGGAUGUGCCCAGAUGGGAUUAGCUAGGAGGGGGGGUAACGGCGCACCUAGGCGACGAUCCCUAGCUGGUCUGAGAGGAUGACCAUCGACACUGGAACGGUGACACGGUCCAGACUCCUACGGGAGGCAGAAGGGGGGAAUAUUGCACAAUGGGCGCAAGCCUGAUGCAGCGAUGCCGCGUGUAUGAAGAAGUCCGUCGGGUUGUAAAGUACUUUCAGCGGGGAGGCGUUACCCGCAGAAGAAGCACCGGCUAACUCCGUGCCAGCCGCCGCGGUAAUUC
rnacentral:rRNA from 1 species